UACGGAGGGGGCUAGCGUUGUUCGGAAUUACUGGGCGUAAAGCGCGCGUAGGCGGCUUUGUAAGUUAGAGGUGAAAGCCCGGAGCUCAACUCCGGAAUUGCCUUUAAGACUGCAUCGCUAGAAUCAUGGAGAGGUUAGUGGAAUUCCGAGUGUAGAGGUGAAAUUCGUAGAUAUUCGGAAGAACACCAGUGGCGAAGGCGACUAACUGGACAUGUAUUGACGCUGAGGUGCGAAAGCAUGGGGAGCAAACAGG
rnacentral:rRNA from 1 species